GCCCGCGAUGGCUCAGAUGGAUAGAGCAUCUGCCAUGUAAGCAGGAGAUCCCAGGUUCGAGUCCCGGUCGGGGCA
rnacentral:tRNA from 1 species